UGGGUAAUAUUGCACAAUGGGCGCAAGCCUGAUCCAGCCAUGCCGCGUGAGUGAUGAAGGCCCUAGGGUUGUAAAGCUCUUUCACCGGUGAAGAUAAUGACGGUAACCGGAGAAGAAGCCCCGGCUAACUUCGUGCCAGCAGCCGCGGUAAUACGAAGGGGGCUAGCGUUGUUCGGAUUUACUGGGCGUAAAGCGCACGUAGGCGGACUUUUAAGUCAGGGGUGAAAUCCCGGGGCUCAACCCCGGAACUGCCUUUGAUACUGGAAGUCUUGAGUAUGGUAGAGAGGAGUGGAAUUACGAGUGUAGAGAUGAAAUUCGUGGAUAUUCGGAGGGACGCCAGUGGCGGAGGCGGCUCACUGGACCAGUACUGACGCUAAGGUGCGAAGGCGUGGGUAGCAAACAGG
rnacentral:rRNA from 1 species